UACAUGUGGGGCAAGCGUUGUUCGGAAUUACUGGGCAUAAAGGGUGCGUAGGUGGUUUGUUAAGUCAGGGGUGAAAUCCCGCGGCCCAACCGUGGAGCUGCCUUUGAUACUGGCGAACUUGAGUGCGUGAGGGGUAGGGGGAACGAGCAGUGUAGCGGUGAAAUGCGUAGAUAUUGCUCGGAAGGCCAGAGCCGAAGGGGCCCUACUGGUGCGUAACUGACACUGAGGCACGAAAGCGUGGGGAGCAAACAGG
rnacentral:rRNA from 1 species